AAGAAAUCAUUUGAUGCAUCUUAAAUGCAUCACACUGGCUUAGCCUGGGGAUUUAGCUUGGACGUCUGAUCCAUUCAUUCCAUAUUGUUGUGGGUGAGGAAAAGUGCCUUUGUGCUUUGCAAAGCCUGUGUCACCCAUUCUGGUCCCCGCACCAUGGUGAGCAUCUGUGAGCUCAAGCUUCUUCACGUGGGCCCUGUGGACUUGGAGAGGACGAUGCUGCAGGGUCAAGCUGCGAAUGUGGUUUGAGUUACUAUUCAACACGGCAGGACUGCUCUCAACCUGCCCAGCAUAAGUGAAAGGUUUAUGUAAGUUUUGACUCUGCUGGGAGACAGAUCCUGGUUCGCAAGAUGUUUUCCAGACUCAGUUAAACUGCUUUCCAAACGCACAGUGUGUUUCCACAAGACAACCAGCCUUUGCUGUAAUAGGCUGGACCAAACAGCUAAUGAUUUGAAAUCAGUUCGCUACGGAUGGUUUUAGAGCUGGUGUUCGGUUCAUUUCCAGGCAGCUGCACAUUGUUGUAAUUUACUAACACUGUCCCAAAUGCUUCUUUUCCCUUUCCUUGUAACAGCUCCUCUGAAUUACAAUAAUGCCUUUACUUUCUGAACAAGCCCUGCAGCCCUUACCACCUCAAAGAGCAGCAACAGCACCUCCCCUUUGCAAUUUCCCUUUCCCUCUUAACCUUGACCUGUAAUAUGCUGAAAGUUGUUACUGAAAACUACCUUGAUCAGAAAUGACAUUAUAAAAACUUGCUCAACCAGAUGCAGCAAAAAUCCAGCCAUGAUAAAGAUUCCCAGAGCCAACAAUUUUGAGUUACAGACCUACCCUGUUUUGGAAUAUGGAGUUGACUUCUUCAAGAACCUGAUGAGAAGACAUUUGGAAGUGUAUUAAAAUGGAAAAACCUGGUGUCAUACGGAAACAGGUCUCAGUAGGAGGAGAAUCAGCCUCUCCAUUUCUCUCCAUGUCUCGUUCUGUGCUGUGAGCUAGAGGCUUUGAAGCAGAGAAGGUUUCUUUGGACCCAAGGGGAUGGCAAUGAUUGAGUGGUUUCAGUUCAAAAGAGUGCAGAAGGAUUCUCCAAAGCUGCUAAAUAAGAGCCCUCAUCCCCAGGAACCUCCUAACCAGCCUGUCUCUUCCAGUUUCCCUGGCUGCAUUGGAGAAGUAGUUAUCCAGGACUGGAACCAUGGAGAGGAUUUGGUUCCUGACACUCAUUGAUUGAUUUCAGUGAUGGUUUGAGGCUUCAAUAUCUUUGUGGUUUGGAGGCUGGGGCGCUUGGUAAGACUGGAGCCAAAAGUGUGAAAAAAUAGCAGUUCUGUAAUUUUCUGUAAUUUCCUUUUCCUUUGGGUGAGUUCAGCUCAAUCGCAAGAUGGACUUUGUGUGAAGGAGAACUGAAGGCCACACCAUGCUUUGUCUUUAGCCCCUUGGUGCUCAAAUGCAGCUGAUGAUCUCCAUUCAGCUCCCUGCAAAACAAGCAUAUUACCCCUCUGCCAUGCUAAGCCAUUACAAGCCUGAAACA